GUGUUCACUUCAGCAGCACACACACUAACACCGGAACGUUACAGAGAAGAUGAGCAUGGCCUCUGUGCAAGGAUGACACACAAAUUCAUGAAGCACAGACAUGUCCC